rnacentral:rRNA from 1 species
CGCCUUGCCAGCCCGCUCAGAAACUUAAAGGAAUUGACGGGGCCCGCACAAGCGGUGGAGCAUGUGGUUUAAUUCGAUGAUACGCGAGGAACCUUACCUGGGCUCAAAUGUAUGUUGACGUAUUUCUGAAAGGGAUACUUCUUCGGACAAUAUACAAGGUGCUGCAUGGUUGUCGUCAGCUCGUGCCGUGAGGUGUCGGGUUAAGUCCCAUAACGAGCGCAACCCCUACCUUUAGUUGCCAUCAGGUAAUGCUGGGGACUCUAAAGGAACUGCCUACGCAAGUAGUGAGGAAGGCGGGGAUGACGUCAAAUCAGCACGGCCCUUACGUCCAGGGCUACACACGUGCUACAAUGGCCGAUACAGAGGGCAGCUACCUGGUGACAGGAUGCAAAUCUCCAAAGUCGGUCUCAGUUCGGAUCGGAGUCUGCAACCCGACUCCGUGAAGUUGGAUUCGCUAGUAAUCGCGCAUCAGCCAUGGCGCGGUGAAUACGUUCCCGGGCCUU